UGAUGCAGCAACGCCGCGUGAGGGACGACGGCCUUCGGGUUGUAAACCUCUUUUAGCAGGGAAGAAGCGAAAGUGACGGUACCUGCAGAAAAAGCACCGGCUAACUACGUGCCAGCAGCCGCGGUAAUACGUAGGGUGCAAGCGUUGUCCGGAAUUAUUGGGCGUAAAGAGCUCGUAGGCGGUUUGUCGCGUCUGCUGUGAAAUCCCGAGGCUCAACCUCGGGUCUGCAGUGGGUACGGGCAGACUAGAGUGCGGUAGGGGAGAUUGGAAUUCCUGGUGUAGCGGUGGAAUGCGCAGAUAUCAGGAGGAACACCGAUGGCGAAGGCAGAUCUCUGGGCCGCUACUGACGCUGAGGAGCGAAAGGGUGGGGAGCAAACAGGCUUAGAUACCCUGGUAGUCCACCCCGUAAACGUUGGGCGCUAGAUGUGGGGACCAUUCCACGGUUUCCGUGUCGUAGCUAACGCAUUAAGCGCCCCGCCUGGGGAGUACGGCCGCAAGGCUAAAACUCAAAGGAAUUGACGGGGGCCCGCACAAGCGGCGGAGCAUGCGGAUUAAUUCGAUGCAACGCGAAGAACCUUACCAAGGCUUGACAUAUACGAGAACGGGCCAGAAAUGGUCAACUCUUUGGACACUCGUAAACAGGUGGUGCAUGGUUGUCGUCAGCUCGUGUCGUGAGAUGUUGGGUUAAGUCCCGCAACGAGCGCAACCCUCGUUCUAUGUUGCCAGCACGUAAUGGUGGGAACUCAUGGGAUACUGCCGGGGUCAACUCGGAGGAAGGUGGGGACGACGUCAAAUCAUCAUGCCCCUUAUGUCUUGGGCUUCACGCAUGCUACAAUGGCCAGUACAAAGGGCUGCAAUACCGUAAGGUGGAGCGAAUCCCAAAAAGCUGGUCCCAGUUCGGAUUGAGGUCUGCAACUCGACCUCAUGAAGUCGGAGUCGCUAGUAAUCGCAGAUCAGCAACGCUGCGGUGAAUACGUUCCCGGGCCUUGUACACACCGCCCGUCAAGUCAUGAAA
rnacentral:rRNA from 1 species